rnacentral:rRNA from 1 species
CGGCUGCGGUAGCGUGACCGUACUAAGGUAGCAUAAUAACUUGCCUUUUAAUUGGAGGCUGGUAUGAAUGGAUAUACGAGGGUAACGCUGUCUCAAUCUCACAUAUAAAAUUUAGAGUUUAGGUGAAGAUACCUAAAUGUUUUAAAAAGACAAGAAGUCCCCAUAGAGCUUUAGUAGAUUAAUUGAAGGUUUUAAAUUAUAUUGCUUUGGUUGGGGCGACAGAGGGCCAACUAUAGCGCCCUUUUUCUAUUUUGAGAAAUAGCUCUUUUAGUUGAUCCAUGUGAAGUGAUUAGAAGAAAAAGCUACCUUGGGGUUAACAGGCUAAUCAACUCAAAGAGCUCAUAUUGAUGAGUUGGUUUGGCACCUCGAUGUUGGCUCAGGGUUUCCCACAGGUGCAGAAGUUUGUGAUGGUAGGUUUGUUCACCCUUUAAAACCCUACGUGAUCUGAGU